UUAUUUGAAUGUCCCCUGUGUGUCAUGGAGCUAACAGCUAACACAUAACCCAUCACUCCGCCCAUUCCAAGUGUUUUUUUGAUGUGCUUUAUGCAUAUUAACUCAUUUAAUGUUCAUAAUGACCCUUCUGAGCACAUGAAAACCUCAGGGUGGAGAAGUUAUGCAAUUGCCUGAGGUCACACCGCUUGUCAACACCAGGGCAUGACAGAUUUCAAAUCCAUAUUAUAGUCUGACUCCUAAAUUGAUACUUUCUCUAUUGUGACACACUAUUAUCCAACCCUAUACUACGUUACUCCGUACCUUAUUCCAUGACUUUCAGCUAUCCUGGAGUGUGUACCCAGACAGGGAGCCUAGCUGUGUGUUCUAGAGCUCACUAAGUGGUUCUAGUACCAUUACUAUUAUGACACUACCUUUGGUCUAACUUUGGCAAAGUGGUCUAAGAGGGGAGCCCUGCUCUUGUGGAGGUCUCCCUCUCCGUGAUUCAGGGCCGGAAGUCCAUGUCCCGCCCCCAAGAUGUAGCUUGUGCUGCUUCAUCCUUCACUACUUCCUAUUGUUCCUCCCAGAGAAGUUCUGGAACACAGUACCAACAGUGGCAGCAUCACUGAGAACUUGGUAGGAAUGCAAAACCUUGGUCCCUACCCCACACCGAUUAAAUCCAGGGAUGGGGCUCAAGGGGUGGCACUGUGUGUGUUACCAACCCUCUAGGUGAUUCUAAUGCAAUGCUACACUUGGAGAACCAAGAGAGGGACCAGAGGCGCCUGCUGGAGUGGCAGUCCAGUCACAUCUCUUUCCAGGAGCCAGAUGGGCAGCCAAAGAGAGAAGCCUCCAGCUAUGUAGCAGACAAGUAGAGAAGGAAAGGUCCAUGAGCCUCCUUAUCACCCUGCAGCUGGCACAACAUCUGGACAACAGAACAAGGCAACAGCACAGAUACCUGCACCUCCCCAACCCCAACAUGCAUGUUUGUCCAUUUAGUGCUAAUUAUAGUAUUGGUUUGUAAUCCCUGCUAUAAAAAAAACUAUAGUCCCUCCCUCUACUUACUUGUUCUAAAUGACCUCUUUCAAAAGAUUCACUGCUU
rnacentral:lncRNA from 1 species